rnacentral:lncRNA from 1 species
AUAAUCAAUGAACAAUCCAGUUAAAUUUCAUACAUCCUCAAGAGAAAAAUCUUAUGUCAAACUUCUCCACUUGCACGUGGAAAAAAUACAUCGCUAUAUUGGGGAGGUAGCCGAGACCAACAAGACUACCAUCCAAUCUCGACUCGUGCUCUUCCACCUCCUUCUGUUGCCGUUUGCAUUGUUCCUGCAACGACCAUGGAGCCACCUGCGUCUACCAUGCGAGACCGUGGUUAGAGAAAUCUUUUGUGCAUCCACUUCAUGGACCUUGAGCAAUAGCAAGAGCUGCAAAUUCUGGACCAACCCUUGGCUUGAUGGAGCUCCAGUCACUCAGCUUGCACCCACCUUGGCUGCUUUUGUACAUUGUUGUAGAAGGAAUCACCGGCUUGCCUGCGAUGCCAUCCCUCGACAACCUUGGAUCUAAGAAAUUCGUGACGCCCUUGGACAGGCAACAAUGGUCGAGUAGCAGUUGGACAUGCAACAAUGGUCGAGUACGCCAACAUAUGGUGACGCCUCCACGAUGUCUUGCUUGGACCGCGAUCCGACAUCAUCCAUUAGUGUUGGACAGAUAGCGGCGUCUACACGUUAUGAGAGCAACGUCUACACGUUAUGAGAGCACCAGACUUACAAUGCACUUGGAAAAACUGGGCCCAUAUAAGAGUCAAGUUGUUCUUGUGGCUUGCUGGACUGCAGCACGCCUUGCCCGCAAUGGGCGGCCGCGCACCCCUGAGUGCAUCCUAUACUUUAAUCGUGUUAUUUGUAGAGUAGAUUUCAUUACAU